rnacentral:rRNA from 1 species
GCUCAGAACGAACGCUGGCGGCAUGCCUAACACAUGCAAGUCGAACGAAGGCUUCGGCCUUAGUGGCGCACGGGUGCGUAACGCGUGGGAAUCUGCCCUUUGGUUCGGAAUAACAGCUGGAAACGGCUGCUAAUACCGGAUGAUGUCGAUGAGACCAAAGAUUUAUCGCCAGAGGAUGAGCCCGCGUUGGAUUAGGUAGUUGGUGGGGUAAAGGCCUACCAAGCCGACGAUCCAUAGCUGGUCUGAGAGGAUGAUCAGCCACACUGGGACUGAGACACGGCCCAGACUCCUACGGGAGGCAGCAGUGGGGAAUAUUGGACAAUGGGCGAAAGCCUGAUCCAGCAAUGCCGCGUGAGUGAUGAAGGCCCUAGGGUUGUAAAGCUCUUUUACCCGGGAAGAUAAUGACUGUACCGGGA